rnacentral:lncRNA from 1 species
CCCCAUUAAAAGAAAGGGGUGAAGGGUUUGAACAGGCAUUACUGCAAGGAAUACACAAAUAGCCACAGGCACAGGGAAGCGUGCUCCACCUCUGGUCUCUGUGCGGCACUGCUGGGCACGGCAUUGUCCAGGAACUCUCAGGCAGCCAGGGUGCAGGGAGGCAGGUGCUGCCUGAUGCUUGGCCAGAGCGUCUCUCUCCUUCUUCCUCCCUGGGUGGCCACACACCCUGGCUGGGGUGUGUCAGGGUGGAUUUGAGCCAGCUGUGGGGGCAGGUGGCUCUGCAGGGGUCCAGGAAGGUUUGCAGGGCUUCCUGCACCUCACUUGUCUCUCAUGGGCACCGCACUGCCGCCUUUAGUCCAGGAGGGUUUGUGGGGGGCUUCCUGCACCUGACUUGUCUCUCAUGGGCACCGCACUGCCGCCUUUAGUCUAGGAGGGUUUGUGGGGGGCUUCCUGCACCUGACGCAUCUCUCAUGGGCAUCACAUAGCAACCUUUAGUCCUGCCUGGUUGUCCACAGUUGGACGAUCAUUUUCGGUGACCUUUACCCCAGCAGGAAGGGGGAGGAACGGUGAAGGGAAGAAUAAACACGCUCCACAGUAGGGAAAGUUUACAAUCCUUGCCUGCAGUGGCGCACACACUUUUUUGCUUUCUAAGCACAGGAACCUGCCUGGGCUCCAUGUCCUCACUGGCCAAUGACCGUCAUGCUGCACCUCCAGGACCAGCUCUCACUGCACACCCUCCUGAGCAACAGAGGAGGUCUUCAGGUCACUGCCUCCGCCACAGUGAGACAGCAGGCUCAGCCACGCUGGGCAUGAGUGACACACGGCAGCCAGUAGCCAUCUUACUGCCACUUGGAGAAGCUUGUUCAAGAAUAAAGCCAAGAAGAGGUCCCUCAGCAAUGAAGGCAGCAGCGACACCACAGCCUCCAGCCCAGGGCAAGAGGACGCACCUUCCCCAGCGCUGCUGGAGCUCAUGGAACCACCUGCUCUUCCCAAGUGGGGAAACUGUCGCUGUGGGAAGGUAACGUCACGGACCUUGCUACUCAUGAGCUCUGAUGAGGAGUGUAAAUUUCGUUGAUGAAAAGAGAACAAUUUCCUAAUAAACAUUAUCAUCUAGUUAA